CUUUUCAUUAGUGUAAAGAGCUUUUGGAAUAAGAGCUGGGCAAGACCGGUGCCAGCCGCCGCGGUAACACCGGCAGCUCUAGUGGUAACAAUUUUUAUUGAGUCUAAAACGUUCGUAGCCGGUUCAUUAAAUCCUUGGGUAAAUCGGAUGGCUUAACUAUCCGAAUUCCGGGGAGACUGGUGAACUUGGGACCGGGAGAGGCAAGAGGUACUUUUGGGGUAGGGGUAAAAUCCUGUAAUCCUAAAAGGACCACCGGUGGCGAAGGCGUCUUGCUAGAACGGAUCCGACGGUGAGGGACGAAGCCCUGGGUCGCAAACGGGAUUAGAUACCCCGGUAGUCCAGGGUGUAAACGCUGCAGACUUGGUGUUGGGGACCCUUCGGGGGUGUUCAGUGCCGGAGAGAAGUUGUUAAGUCUGCUACUUGGGAGUACGUCCGCAAGGAUGAAACUUAAAGGAAUU
rnacentral:rRNA from 1 species